UCGAGAAUUUUUCUCAAUGGGCGAAAGCCUGAAGGAGCGACGCCGCGUGGGGGAUGAAUGGCUUCGGCCCGUAAACCCCUGUCAUUUGCGAACAAAUUGACUCACCUAACACGUGUGUCAUUGAUUGUAGCGGAAGAGGAAGGGACGGCUAACUCUGUGCCAGCAGCCGCGGUAAUACAGAGGUCCCAAGCGUUGUUCGGAUUCACUGGGCGUAAAGGGUGCGUAGGCGGUUGGGUAAGUCUGACGUGAAAUCUCCGGGCCUAACCCGGAAACUGCGUUGGAUACUAUCCGGCUAGAGGAAUGGAGGGGAGACUGGAAUACUUGGUGUAGCAGUGAAAUGCGUAGAUAUCAAGUGGAACACCAGUGGCGAAGGCGAGUCUCUGGACAUUUCCUGACGCUGAGGCACGAAAGCCAGGGGAGCAAACGGG
rnacentral:rRNA from 1 species